UGGCGAACGGGUGAGUAACGCGUGAGGAACCUGCCUCAAAGAGGGGGACAACAGUUGGAAAUGACUGCUAAUACCGCAUAAGACCACAGCACCGCAUGGUGCAGGGGUAAAAACUCCGGUGGUAUGAGAUGGACCCGCGUCUGAUUAGCUAGUUGGUAAGGUAACGGCUUACCAAGGCGACGAUCAGUAGCCGACCUGAGAGGGUGACCGGCCACAUUGGGACUGAGACACGGUCCAA
rnacentral:rRNA from 1 species